GGUUCAGGACGAACGCUGGCGGCGUGCUUCAUACAUGCAAGUCGAACGAGAAUCUGACUUCGGUCAGAGGAAAGUGGCGGACGGGUGAGUAAAAUGUAGAGAAUCUGCCCUUAAGCGGGGGACAACAGUUGGAAACGACUGCUAAUACCCCAUAUGCGCGUAGCUGAGAUGCUAUUCGUGAAAACUCCGGUGCUUAAGGAUGAGUCUGCAUCUGAUUAGCUAGUAGGCGGUGUAAUGGACCACCUAGGCGACGAUCAGUAGCUGGUUUGAGAGGAUGAUCAGCCACAAUGGGACUGAGACACGGCCCAUACUCCUACGGGAGGCAGCAGUAGGGAAUUUUGCGCAAUGGGGGAAACCCUGACGCAAGCAACGCCGCGUGAUUGAAGAAGCCCUUCGGGGUGUAAAGAUCUGUCAGUGGGGACGAAACUUGACGGUACCCACAGAGGAAGCAUCGGCUAACUCCGUGCCAGCAGCAGC
rnacentral:rRNA from 1 species